rnacentral:misc_RNA from 1 species
AUAGCCAGCCAAGUUCUGACAUACUAGCUCUAUUUCAAUUUUCUAACACAGAUAUUUUUCUCUAAAAGUCAAUGAACUGCAGGAAGCGAAGGUCUAGCUCAGUGGCUUGAAGACCCAUCUUAUCCAAAUACAACACUAUCAUGGAAUGUCAUUCAUGGGAAUGGCACAAUCAGCCAAGACAUAGGGAAGUCGUCUAGUUAUUACGUGGCAGUAGGAAACUUGAACUCUGG